rnacentral:lncRNA from 1 species
AAUCAUCAUUUCCACCGAUUAAUCGGUUCAUUGAGUGAUUCCUCACUAUUCUAGGGUUUCGUCAUGUCCGAUUAGGGUUCGUUCAUGAUUUUAGGGUUUUUCUUCGAUCUCUUCCGAUUUCUCACCGAUCUAGAGCUGUCUUCAACAAUUUCCGCUGCGUAUUCUUCGUCGGAGAAGCCUCGAGGACUCCAAUCGUGUCUGCAUCGCGCCUAUCGGUCCUCUUCCUCAAGGCGUCUUCCAUC